UGAAAUGCGACACUAGCUCAGUUGGUAGAGCGCAACCUUGCCAAGGUUGAGGUCACGAGUUCGAACCUCGUGUGUC
rnacentral:tRNA from 1 species